GAUGAAGAACGUAGCGAAAUGCGAUAAGUAAUGUGAAUUGCAGAAUUCCGUGAAUCAUCGAAUCUUUGAACGCACAUUGCGCCCCCUGGUAUUCCGGGGGGGCAUGCCUGUCCGAGCGUCAUUGCAACCUUCAAGCGCGGCUUGUGUGUUGGGUCUCGUCCCCCGUGGACGGGCCCGAAAGGCAGUGGCGGCGUCCCGACAUGGUGCCCGAGCGUAUGGGAAUCCUCUUCCGCUCGAAUCGGCCCAUGCGGCGCUGGUCGUAACCAAAAUUUUUACCGGUUGACCUCGGAUCAGGUAGGGAUACCCGCUGAACUUAAGCAUAUCAAUAAGCGGAGGA
rnacentral:misc_RNA from 1 species